rnacentral:rRNA from 1 species
CCCUUAGACGUUCUGGGCCGCACGCGCGCUACACUGACCAGUGCAACAAGCAUCCGUCCUUGGCCGACAGGCCCGGGCAAUCUUUGAACGCUGGUCGUGAUGGGGAUAGACUUUUGCAAUUUUUGGUCUUCAACGAGGAAUUCCUAGUAAACGCAAAUCAUCAACUUGCAUUGAUUACGUCCCUGCCCUUUGUACACACCGCCCGUCGCACCUACCGAUUGAAUGGUCCGGUGAAGCCUCCGGAUUGGCGCGCACCUCGGUGCCGCCGAGAAGUUGGCUAAACCUUACCAUUUAGAGGAAGGUGAAGUCGUAACA